rnacentral:lncRNA from 1 species
GUAAACAGAAUAUACAGUCAUGUAUAGUCGGGCACUUGGAUUUUCCCGGAUAUGUGGUUUAACCAGAUUGAGCAGCGUCAGCUGGCCAAGAGUGGCUCCAGCACUGUGCAGACAUCAGCAUCGGACCUUCGACUCUGAAUCUACGCAGGUCAAAGUGCUGUAUGAUGGACUGUGUCCAAUAUGUGUCGCCGAGAUCCGCUUCCUUCAGUUGGUGCAGAGAAAUAUUAAGCCCGGGAGGGUGAAUUUCGUUGAUAUCUCACUGGCUGGUUACGAUGGAGCCAAACACGGUAACGUCAGCUAUGAGAUGGCCAUGGAGGUGAUGCACGUGAUCGACGAGAAAGAGCAGGUCCACCGGGGGGUCCCUGCCUUCGCAGUGAUGUACAACGCGGUGGGCCUCGGCUGGCUCGGCCGCUUGAUGAUGUCGGCCCCCGUGAGGCCUCUGAUGGACCAGGCUUAUGCCGUUUUUGCAAGGAAUCGCCUGAAGUGGACGGGACGCGGAGAGGAGUGCAGCAAAGGACGCUGUGAAAAGAGAACACGCUGAAUAUGGACUGUAUCAAAGUUCCUCAUGAAUAAUUACAUCGGAAAUAUAACGGUACACACGUUAUCACAACCACUGAACCAAAUCAUCAGAAGAGCUGUAAAAACAUAAUGUGAUUAAAACAAAGGUAUUGUUCCUAGUAUUGUUAUUACUAAUUUUAUGCAGUAUUCAACCAUUGUAAAGGCUUUAGUGGGUUAAAAAGAAGCAUGAAAAGCUGCAGAAGGCAGAAUAAAACACGGUUGUAAAUGGGAACAGGAAAUCUCUGAAGCCAAAUACAAACAAUUUCCUGACGAUGGACAGAAAUCCAGUAGAACUCGG